AUCCAGGCUGAUGUCAGAGGGACGGGAGGAAGGCUGGCUGCAUGGAACAAACAGCAGGCGCCCGUGCCAUUUUGAGAUACAAAGCGCUUUUUUCAUCCCCGUGGCAGUCUAAAAAAAGGACAUGUGCCCUAGGAACAGACUAUUUUCUAAACAGAACGGAUGAUUAUUUCUGCAGAUCUCAGAUGACCCUGCUCAGAAUGAUAUAAGCACUGUUUCUCCUAGACAAGUCCUUGGCUUCUGUUGGCAGGAUGAUUUCGAAGUGGACAUAAAAAGUGCACAAAAGGACUUUUUAUCUCGUGCUUAGGAAAGCUCUUUUCCCCCAAAACCUGGGAGAUGCUUCCCCGAGGUGUCCCAAAGGAGAAGUGACAAUAAUGACUUUAUCAAAGCUCUACCAAAGAGUCAUUAGCCAAGAGUACAAACUCAAAGGAAACCAUGUUCCACCUGGAGUCACUAUUGCAACUGCUUGGUUUUGAUGCUAAGCAAAAUAGAUUCCCAGGAGAAACAGGCUGCCAGAAUCCUGCUACUGCUUUCUCACCUACUCCUCUAUUAGAUUUUUUUUCUUUUUUUUUUUUUUUUUUUUUUUCUCUGUUAGAGUUGGGAUUGAAAGCACGAGAGACAGGAUUUUGUGUUUGGACUUAGUUGUUUAUUAAUUUUUAUUUAUAGUACAGGGAGUGUUACAGCACUUUUAGCUAAUAAGCUAAAAGCAAAAAAAUGGAGCACUAUCUUGCUUGUUACGAGGCUUAAUUGUUUAAUUAAAAACUAAUAGCUAAAUUAUUUUUACUUUUGAUCUAAUGACUAAAUACACGUGACUUGCAGUGCGGCAUUUUCUAUCUAAUUAAAAAAGUACUACUUAAAACCUAGAAGAAGAAGGAAGAAGAAGAAAGAAAAACUAAUGUUCCAAAACUUUUAUCUUGUCUCAUAUCUAUUACUAUAUUCUAAAAUUCCAAAUUCUUCGCUAUGUGAUAUUAGACACCUCUAUUUAAACUAUAGAGUAGUGAUUUUAACUUUAAUUCUUAAUUUUGGAAGCCUUCUCCAAGGCCUCAAGUCAAAAGCAGUGUUCCCCUGGGGAUCAGUGUCAGAAAGCAAAGAAACUCAAAACUCCCAUGCUUCAGGGCUCCAUCAUCCCUUGUCCCUGGGCUCAAAGGCCAGCCACCCAUACCCUCUCACGGCACAGACAUCAGUUUUGGAAAUGGAAGAACCCAAACAGGAUCUACUGCAGGGAAUCACCCACUUAUUGGAACAGCAGCAAAAAAAAAGGGAGGGAAGUAGCUGUGGAAGUUGACAAAAACCCAACCCAUCCACUGAUGGAGAUUCAAAUGCCAAAUGCCACCAGAGGCGUGAGUCUCUUCCCAACUCCAAUCCUUUCCCAAGGAUUCAAGUCCUGAGAACAUGAGCAGGAGGAUCUUCAUGAAUUCCUAAUCUGACUAAGUGAUGCCCUGCAGGAAGUGAUGUGAGUUAGCUCGAUUCUCAUAAGGCUACCUUUUGAAAGUCUAAAUCAGCAUCUUUGAUAAGAACAAAUUUGAUAGAUGGCAACAUCUUUGAGAAAUCAAGUCAAACUUGCUCUUCCAUAAGCAAAUCCAUAUCAAGCAGACUGGCACUGUCAGCGUUAUCUGAAGUCCUCCAAAUUUUGCUGGGUGAAUACCAAAGACCUCAAGCUGCAGUCCACGCCAGCACAGCACCGAUUAAAAAUUGGAUUAGGAUUACAGGAUUGUAACCUGUUGGAAACACGGGCUACAGGCAGCAGCAGCCUGGUGAGGACAGAGCACCAGAGUUAAUGACAGAGGGUAAUUAGGGUGGGCUCGACUGCCAGAAUCCCUCUGAGAGAAGGGAAUGGCUCACAGCAAUUAUCAGGUAAGCAUCCUCACCAAAAGCGCAGGUGUUGCUGCCCCACCCCAGCUUACUGCACCUUCAAAUGCAGCCCUUUGCAAAACUAAACUGGAAAAGCGAGUUGCUGCACCAUGGGGCUUGCGUGAUGAGACAAGGCUGAGCAGCCCAAACCAUAGUGCUCCGUGCAUCCAGGAGCCUCCUAUUUAUUGACCAAGAGGGCUGACAUCAGGUACCUGCCCUCUCUUGCACAAGAGCAUCAAGCCAGUUGAACAUGCACCCGAAAAUACCCUUUCGGUGACUUCAUCUUUCCCUGUGCCAUUAACUCAAGGCACAGCUCCCGCUCCCAGGGGUGAUACCGAUCAGAUGCAGGUCAGUAUCUCACAACAACGCGAGUCACUUUCAGCCUGCAUUUGUCAUCCCUGCCGACCAGCCUGUGUUCGGCACCAGGAAGAGAUUUCACCCGCAAAGGCAGAAAAUUUCGGCAGCGUUUGAGGGAGGACCUCAACCAGCUCAGGUGUGCAAGUGACAACAGUUGAUGGCACAGCUCCUUCUCUCAGCCCCUGAGGGGAAGGGCCAGCAAUAAGCUGCUAAAUUGUUCGUAUGAAAGUACAGUUUCACUAAGUGGACAGACAUUUAGUCUUCGCAAAAUUAGUAUUUUGCCACCUCACUGUGUAAGCCAUUUCCAGAAAUGACAGUGCUACGAUGCACCACAUGUCCGUGCUGCCACCAAAGCAUAUUUCUAAGACGCCCACCCCUGAAAGACCCUUUAGCUUUCCUUUUGAACAAACCCAGCCAAAAUGCAUUUGGUGAAACAGCUUUUUUCAACUCCAACCACCUUCUUGCAACACAUUAGCAAAACUAAAUCGGCUUUCAAAGGGGAUUAUUGGAAAAAACCCCAACACUUCUCCCAAGAGAGAAAUUGACCAUUUCAAAGUCAGAAACUGACCAUUUUUAAUGUGACCAUUUCAAAGUCAAAACAGAUCGACCGACUGACCCAACUUGCAUCCAAACCAGCAAGAAGUGGUUAAAACUCCACAUUCAACAAUUUCCACUCCAAAAUCAUACCGAACAACAAAACUACUGAAUAGACCAGUGUCUUGGUCAUCCCUAAACAACCUCCACUAACAGCUUCUCCCAUCGCUGCGCUCUUCUCAAGCCAUCUGAAGCCUCUCAGGAGCCAAAGGAAGGGAUGGGAAGGCACGCAAUUAAUCAAUGACUGCUGGUCCUCGACAGCCUUAACGCGGUGCAGGGCUGCACAACCUUCACUGGGGAGCAGGAGCCGCUGGAAAUGCCAUGAGAUUUCCACCAGAACCCACCAGUUAUGGCUAUGAACCAGCGCUCCGGGCGAGCUUCAAACUCCAGAAACGCUGCGAAUUAUGCCAGCGUGCGAGGGGGAGCGGUGACAAAAAGCAGCGCUGCCCUCCGAUGCGCACACACGGCGUUAUCGCGCCUGGACUGAUUAGGAGGAGGAGGCGCAGAGAUUCCCUCUGUGUGCAGGAAUGUCCCCAACAAAGGCUCGGAGCGCAGCUGCUCCUCUGCAGAAGCCCGGGAGGAGACCUGUGUUCCCACGGAAGAGGUCUCAGGAGGACAGCAGCUGGAUUCAGCCUCAAGAUCCCUCCCAGCCCUCAGCUAUCAUUUAAAGCGUUAAAAAUCCUUCUGCCCUGGCUCAGGCUCCGGAGGACUGAGAGCCCUUUGUGUGCAGUGCUGACACGGCAGCCUGGCCCGUGAAGGCAGGAUUGUGCCGGGUCUGGGGGAGAGAGGGGGCCAUGAAUAAACCUCACUGUUUUCCCCCUGUAA